UUUUUGUUUUCAUGCAAUGCAGUAGAAUUGCAACCACAUGGCGGCGAAUUUAUUUAGGAUGAGGAUGGGGGUUUGUCGGGGCCCCUUUACGCCAUCACAAGUUUGGGACUAAAAAUCGUAUAAUGAAUUCCUCCCUUCAGCAAACUUCCUGUCCUGCUCUCUCCUGACAAACAGUUCGCACAGGGUGUCCUAGCGUGCUACUUCCCAUAAAUAUGUCUCCCGGCAUUUGGGGACGGGACAAAAUAUGAAAGGCCUACGACACACAACCUCCAAGUGAGUGUGCCUCCAUCUGUGUGUGCAGGCGGCAGAAAGCCGCCAGGAUGAACCGAAAAAUGUUGACAGCCGUUCAACGUACACAUUUUGCUGUGAACCUGUUCGUUUGACUUGUUUGAUGGUUUUAUGAGUGUCAAAACUUGACAGCUUAAUAGACAUUUUUAUGGCAGGCAAUCGCACUUUCAUUGUUAUUGGGGAGAGAGAUACACAGGAGAGGGUGAGGGAGAGAGAGAAGGGAGCACGCAUGUACAUACAUAUACAGCGAUGGUAUGUUGGUCGUCGUUCCUGCCCCAUAGAAAGCAAGGGAUGGAUGCUGUAAGCCCCGCUAACGGCGAAAAAGCCUUUGCAAGCACACACACACCCCUCCAAAUUCAUACUACCCAGUGGACAAAAUCUUCGGCAACGCGCAAGCCCCUAAUACAUUUCCUGGCCUCUGUGCCACGCCAAGAACACUGUCGUGCGACCUUGUCCGCAAGAAAGAUGGUGCGAAGAGCUACGAAUCCAUUGGUCGAACGCUUCCUCGCUGGACAUCUAAAGCUCUGAGAUCUGUACAGAAUAGUAGUAGUAAGUAAACAAACUCUGUUCAAAGCUGUCCCGUUAGUCGAUUAUCUGGAAUGGUUCAUAAGGGUUUCACAAAGCUUUGACUUGGUAUCUGAAAUUUCUAAGCGAAGAGCCACAAUUUCCGCUGUCUUGCGAUGAACUUUAUUUAAAAUAAAGUACAUUUUUUGGAUA
rnacentral:sRNA from 1 species